AGCAGCCGCGGUAAUUCCAGCUCCAAUAGCGUAUAUUAAAGUUGUUGCAGUUAAAAAGCUCGUAGUUGAAUUUCGGGAUUAGUACGUUGGUCGUGCCUUCGGUACGUACUGGUGUUACUGAUUCCUACCUUCUGACGAACCAUCAUGUCAUUAAUUUGGUGUGGCGGGGAAUCAGGACUGUUACUUUGAAAGAAUUAGAGUGUUUAAAGCAGGCUCGCGCUUGAAUACAUUAGCAUGGAAUAAUGAAAUAGGACGUUGACCCUAUUUUGUUGGUUUCUAGGAUUGACGUAAUGAUUAAUAGGGAUAGUUGGGGGCAUUAGUAUUCAAUUGUCAGAGGUGAAAUUCUUGGAUUUAUUGAAGACUAACUACUGCGAAAGCAUUUGCCAAGGAUGUUUUCAUUAAUCAAGAACGAAAGUUAGGGGAUCGAAGACGAUCAGAUACCGUCGUAGUCUUAACCAUAAACUAU
rnacentral:rRNA from 1 species